UGGGGAAUAUUGCACAAUGGGCGAAAGCCUGAUGCAGCAACGCCGCGUGAGUGAUGAAGGUCUUCGGAUUGUAAAGCUCUGUCUUUUGGGACGAUAAUGACGGUACCAAAGGAGGAAGCCACGGCUAACUACGUGCCAGCAGCCGCGGUAAUACGUAGGUGGCGAGCGUUGUCCGGAUUUACUGGGCGUAAGGGUGCGUAGGCGGAUGUUUAAGUGAGACGUGAAAUACCCGGGCUUAACUUGGGUGCUGCAUUUCAAACUGGAUAUCUAGAGUGCAGGAGAGGAGAAUGGAAUUCCUAGUGUAGCGGUGAAAUGCGUAGAGAUUAGGAAGAACACCAGUGGCGAAGGCGAUUCUCUGGACUGUAACUGACGCUGAGGCACGAAAGCGUGGGUAGCAAACAGGAUUAGAUACCCUGUNAGUCCA
rnacentral:rRNA from 1 species